rnacentral:rRNA from 1 species
UACGAAGGGGGCGAGCGUUGUUCGGAUUUACUGGGCGUAAAGCGCACGUAGGUGGCCUGUUAAGUCGGGUGUGAAAUCCCUGGGCUCAACCCAGGAAGUGCACUCGAAACUGGCAGGCUUGAGUACUGAAGAGGGUCGCGGAAUUCCCGGUGUAGAGGUGAAAUUCGUAGAUAUCGGGAGGAACACCAGUGGCGAAGGCGGCGACCUGGGCAGAUACUGACACUGAGGUGCGAAAGCGUGGGGAGCAAACAGG